CCUACGGGGGGCAGCAGUGAGGAAUAUUGGUCAAUGGGAGAGAUCCUGAACCAGCCAAGCCGCGUGAGGGAAGACGGCCCUAUGGGUUGUAAACCUCUUUUGUCGGAGAACAAAACCCGGGACGUGUCCCGGACUGCGUGUAUCCGAAGAAAAAGCAUCGGCUAACUCCGUGCCAGCAGCCGCGGUAAUACGGAGGAUGCGAGCUGUAUCCGGAUUUAUUGGGUUUAAAGGGUGCGUAGGCGGUCCGUUAAGUCAGCGGGAAAAUUGCGGGGCUCAACCCCGUCGAGCCGUUGAAACUGGCAGACUUGAGUUGGCGAGAAGUACGCGGAAUGCGCGGUGUAGCGGUGAAAUGCAUAGAUAUCGCGCAGAACUCCGAUUGCGAAGGCAGCGUACCGGCACCAGACUGACGCUGAGGCACGAAAGCGUGGGGAUCGAACAGGAUUAGAUACCCUAGUAGUC
rnacentral:rRNA from 1 species